GACAGUGUGGUGUAGUGGUUGGAGGAUUGGACUACAACUCUGGGGACCAGGGUUCGAUUCCCUGCUUGGCCA